AUCCUAUAGAAAAAUUGAUUAGUAACCUCUUAUUUCGUAACCAACUGUUCCUAAAGCAAGUGACAAAGAAUUUGAUGAUUGGUACUCGAGACUUAAGUUCGAAUCCUGAUUGAUUCACAUUUCUAGCUAAGUUUAUUUCUAAAUGAAAUAAACGAAACAGAUAGCGUGCUACCUAUCUCUCUCUUUCUCUCUCAAAAAAAAAAAAAAAAAAAAAAAAAAAAAAAAAAAAAACCUUCUAUUUCGUAAACCAGGGGCUUUAGUGGUUUCAAGCAUCUACUGACAAAUAAAAUAUUGAAUAAUCACUACAUCAAACUAAUACCUGAGGAAUGUGUGUAGAAAAAGAAUGCCACAUAAAAAGAAAAACUGUUUAUCUUUUUUUUAUGCCAUUAGGCCCAUUACCUUAAAUAAAAUAUAUAUGCUUUUAAAAGUGAUUGAUUAGCGCCAACUAUAGAAGUACAAUAUUAUUUUUUUUUCGGCUUUGUUUGGUAGGAUUUGAGUAGUGAGUGUGAGAGUGGAGGAAGCAAAUUAAAGUGUUUAUAGAUUGUCAUAAAAAAAAUGUAAAAAAAAGAAAAAAGAAAAAAUCCAUACUGAGGGCUCCUCCUUCAAAUUUAUUGGAUCUCGAUCGUUUAAAUCUAACGUUCGAUUCAGGUUUUAAGAUUGACGUGAACAACUUCCAGAUUAAAAUAAAACUUUUAUGAUUUGGACGCAUAGAUCAAUGAAUCAUAUGAUUUAUCAAAAGAGAACUUGUUGAAUAACUCCUGCAUCAAUAAUUGAAUUAUUGCGUCGCUCCAGCGAACCCAAAAUAGACAUAUAUGCACCAGGUGGACAUGACCACUGACAACGAGCGGCCUCCUAAUUCUAAAAGAGAAUUUUUUUUUUUUGAGGUUCAUUUUAUUUCGAAAUAAACUUAAUUAGAAAUGUGAAUCAAUUCAGAUUUGAAUUUGGGAUUCAGAUACUAAUUAACUAUUAAAUCCUUUGUCACUUGCGCUAAGGACGAUCGGUAAUUUGAAGAGAAAUUUUGAUCUAAUAAUAACUAAAGUUAACUUAAUAGGGACGCCCAACUUAGAGAAAUUAUUGCUCGGAAUUGAUUUAUGGGCGGUGAAAAGUCUCCAAUGUGACAGUUAUAUCCAUGAUACGGUGUUUCCAAUAAGUCAAAUAAUUUUAUUGAAAUUUAUUCAUCCUAUUAUGGCUAUCAGAAAUUUAAUUUUUAUUAUACUUUUAUUUUUUUUUUAAAAUACGAUUGACUGAAUAUAGAUGAUGUAGUGUAUCUGCUGUGUAGUAAACUUCCUCCUAGAGUAAAGAUUUGCAAUUAAAAGCAGGUUGUCAAACGACCGUUCCUAGAGCAAGCGGCAAAGACUUGAUAGUUGGCAUUCGAGAUCCCAAGUUCGAAUCCUAAUUGAUUUACAUUUCCAACUAAGUUUAUGUUUAAAUGAAAUAAACAAAACAGGUAACGUGCUAUCUAUCUCUCUCUCAAAAAAAAAUAAAAAAUAAAAAGAGAGAGAGAGAGAGCAGGCUGUCAACAACGGAACACAAAAGGGAUAAAUUAAUGAGCUACCAGCAUCGAAAUAGAAAAUAUAUUUCAUUAUAAUAAUUUUAAUAAAAUUACAUCAAUUGAUAUGUCUAUUUUAGAUAUGUCUAUUUGUAUUUUUUUGGCAUCAUUUUUUUUUUAUAAACAGCUCACUAACUUGUUUAUCAUAUAGGAAUAUCUACGUUAUUUCAAGUAGGGGACAAAAAUUAUGUAGGGGGAUUUUUUAAUUACAUCCAAAUUUUUAUUAUUAUAAAAUAUAUUUUAUUACAAUAGUUUAUACCGUUACGAUGGAAACUAGCUAAAACACCUUAUAAUUUGGUUGGUGUGUAAACUUUAUUCGGAAGGUUACAAUUGUAGAAACAAAAGCUGCAUUUUAUUUUUAUGAAGGAUAAUAAUAUCUUUACUAGUAUUUAAGGGAAAAAAUAAUUUAUAGGAUAAGGGAAAUAAUUUCUUAUUUCAAAAUUUUGGCCAAAUGUAUAGAUAGUUUCGGUAUCAUCCAAGCUCUUUUUAAUUAAGUACUAGUAUUAAUUGAUAAUAAAUACAUGGUAUUUAUUAUUAAUUUUUUAGUUCUUGAAUCAAUAUUAUUUAAUCUAUAACUACUAAACCCUAAACAUUAAUAAAGAAUUAAAAAAUAAAUAAUAAAUAUUAUUAUUUUACUAUACUCUAAAUCUAAUAUAUCUAAAAAGUAAGUAUAAAUUUUACAUCUUAUCAAUUUAUAUAAGAGCUAAUAUCCUCUCACUCAUCUUAUCAACUCUCUUUUUUAUAUCAAAUAUAUUUUAAUAUUAAAACUACAAUAUAUUUUAGCUUGCUCAUUAGCCUCCCCGAGGUUUAGCUGAUUCCUAUUGGUUUUAGUAAGUAAAAAGGAUGAUAAUAUAAAAAAAAAAAAAAAAAAAAAGGUUAGCUCUUGGACAGUGAUGCUUUGGAGUUAUAUAUACACUCUUUAUGGUCAUAGACAUAACACUAACCUUUUUUUUGUGUGUUAAGACUAAGUGGAGGCUCUUUUAAAAUUUUAAUUAUAUUGAUAUUUUUAAAUUAUGUAUAUAUAGAUCAAGCCAUAGUUUUUUUUUUUUUUUUUUUUUUUUUAUAGAUAGCACGCUACCCGCUUCGUUUAUUUCAUUUAGAAAUAAACUUAGCUGAAAAUGUAAAUAAAUUAGGAUUCGAACUUGGGUCUCGGCACUUGCUCUAGGGACGGUCUGUUGAUCAAGCCAUAGUUAAACCCUCUUCUUUGUAAAUGCUUCAGAGUUCAAUUUUUAUAUUAAUUAUUUAAUAAUAUAAAUUAUUUUUUUUAUUAUUUAUUUCACCACUGUUUGCUAUAUAAGAACCAAGUCACAAUAUUAGGAUAGUAUAGGGGUUACACAAAAAAUAUUUACCCCUUAAAAUUUGGAAGUUGUCCUUGUUAUCUCGCUCUUACUAAAAAUUGAACAAUCUAUGCACCUAGCCCGGGCUGAAUAGUAAUUCAAAAUUGAUUGACUAGAAAACAAAUUCAGAAAAUAUAUAUAUGUCGACACUUCUACUUACAUGCAUACAUAAUAAAUAUGAAAGAUACAGUAUUAAAUCUAAAACCUCGCAUAAUAAAAAAAUUUAGAAUUGGCUCUCACAUCACAAAACCCAAAAGAUCAAUUUAAUAAAUAAAAUGCUCUGGAAUAUAAAUCAACAUGACUAAUAAGUAAUAAACAUGUGGGUAUAAUAAAAGUAAAGAAUUUAUAAUUGUAAUUAAACACUAUAUAUCUUAUUGGCUAUUUAUUACUGGCUAAAAUAGGUAUAAGUUGAGUUUAACAAGUCCAACAAAUUUAGUGAAACUCUGGUCCACAGUUAUAUCUAGCAGUAAUUAAGAGAUCCAACGAUAAACAUAAUAUUCAUACAAAUUGAAUAACAUCAAAUCUAUGAUAGAUAUAUAUUUUUUUUUAUCAAUACGUGUUUUUGUGAUAAUUGAUUAUUUAUAUACAUAUAUAACCUCACUCACUCCGCUCCCUUAUCUCACACUCCAGCUUUAUUCUCCUCCUUUCCUUUCAAUAUUUCGUUUCCUCUCUCUCUCUCUCUCUCUCUCUCCAAAGUCCAAAACCAUGCACAUGGAAAUAGCAAACGUAGUGCUAUUCCUGCUGAUCUCCAUCCUCUCCCUCCCCUGCUUCCUGCUGCUCAUCAUCCUCACCGAAGCGCUCCUCCGCGCGGCCACCCCUCUCCUGCAGCGCCAGGCGCUCAGCCACUUCGCGUGGCCGCCGAAUUCUGCCUUCCGCCGAACCGCUCCCCCCGCCACCUUCCGGACAAAAUCGCCGCCGUCUCCGCCCUCCAACGCCGCACUCAGAGUCGCAACAUACAAGCGCGCAGACGUCUCGUUCUCAUCAUUGGCAUCGGCAUCGGCAUCGGCAUCGGCAGCAGCAGCAGCAGAGCACGCCGACGACGCGUGCUGCUGCGUGUUCUGCUUGUGCGACGUCGAGGAAGGGGAUGAGAUACGGGAGAUACCGUGCAGGCACGUCUUCCACCGGCGGUGCCUGGACACGUGGCUCCAGCACAGGCACGCCACGUGUCCUCUGUGCAGGAACAGGCUCCGCGAAGUCGGCGACGAGGACGAGGACGAGCUCGAGGAGUCGGCGACGAUUUUGGUCGCCUACGUUCAUAGCAGUGGGUGGUGGGCGCGGUAAAAUAAAUAAAUAAACAGUUUAUUAAUUAACUUCUCUUUUUUAAAAAAAUAUUUUUUUUUUCCGUGAAAUUUUGUAAUAUAAUAAUAAUAAGAUUAAUGGAGUGGUUAAUUACUAUUUAUUUCCCUUUUUUAUUUUAGCUUUUACGGUUAAUUACGUUAAGCUCUUAUUAUUUGCUAAAUUAUAAAGUUAUUAUUAAAUUUGAUAUGUAAAUGUAAUCGUCAAGAGAAUUUCUAAUUUUUGUGACCAAAAUAGAGUUUAGACGUCUCAAUCAGAAUGAUAAGAGUUGCGGGGUCUGCUUCAGAAUUGCCGGUCAUUUUGGGUUGUCCACGCAUUUUUAAUUAGGUUCUUAAUUUGUAGCGGGAUUUAAGUGAGAGGAUCAUGAUAAGGUUUAAUUAGUAUUUAAAAUGAUGUGGGACUUUGCGUGUUUAUGAGGCAAAACUAGUUAGUGAUUGGGACGUGUGGGUUAUUAAUUAGUGAUUAGGACUAAUAAAAAGUCUAUUGCAUCUAAUUGAAGCUAAAUAGAAUUUCUAAUUAGAAUAAUUUUUUUCAUUUUUGUGAAACAGAUUUACGGAACUCUUAUUAACUUUAUUUAAAGCCCAACCCAAAAUUGAACCCAGAAUAUAAUAAACAUCAAGCGUCAAAAUUUUCUUGACCACAAGCUUAAGCAAUUUAAAUGCAUAUAUAUAGUUAAGUACGUAGACUAAAUGGAUUAAUUGAACUAAAGCAAACCUCUAAUACAAUGCAUUACACAAACCUCUCAACAAAUAAUCUUUUAAGAGAUUGAUCUCAUUUCUAAGCCAAAACCCUGUCGUCAUCGCUGUAUAAAAACAUAUAUAUAUAUAUAUAUAUAUAUAUAUAUAUAUAUAUAUAUAUAUAUAUAUAUAUAUAUAUAUAUAUAUAUAUAUAUAUACAUUGCAACAUGCGAAUACGAUGUACCGAAAAACUAUUCCAUUCGUAUUGCGAUUGUACAUUGACCUCUAAAUAUGAUAAUAAUUCAUUUACAUCAUGAGAAAGUGUAGAGACUCUAACAGGAGCAACAGUAGCUGAAAUAAGCUUCUGGGCUUCAAAGAUUAAGAGCUCUAGCAUCGAGCUUUUGCUUCUAAGUUUAGCAUAAUCCUGUAUCGAAUUUGUUUACAGGUAUCUCGACGACGAUUCUUCAAGAUCUUUACAUGACAAGCAUUUCUGCUGAAAUUCUAAUUGCGCCAAACAGGAACUGGUGUAACAGUGCUAAUAACUUCAUUUCGAAUUUAAAUUCCGUCAGUAUCUGCACAGCAUAGCUAGCUAGAAGUGGAGAAAGAGACCAAAAAGUGAGGUUCUUGAUACUGGAACCUGCAUAAACAUAUCAAUUCAACAAAUGUCAGGUUUCUGCUUCUCUGAGUAGAGAAGCUGCUAAAAAAAGAUUUGCAUUUGGACAAGUAACAUCAGUGAAUUCAUAUGGCUCCACAUCCUAGUCAAGUUGAAAUUUCCAUUAUAUAAUGCACAAGUUGGAGCUCAGAAGAGGGUCCUUUUCCUUAUUAAAUACGCGAGUAGGACUUUGACGGAAAGAAAUGUUCUUACUUUUCUUUUAGAUAUUAAGAAAACGCAUGCGUGAAAAGGAAAGCUCCAACUUGAUUUAAAUGAAAAAAAAAUGUUUUGAUAACUUAUAAAAAUGCAGAAUUUUUAUUAUCAUUCCUACCUUCAAUGUCUUCUAUUCCUCCUUUACUAAUGUCAUGCAUCAGAGAAGAAGCAAACUUGGUAACCACUUUUAACAUGUGAAUAACCAACAUAACAUUGUAUGAAGUUUCAUUUUAGUGAAAUUUGUUUUCAUUUUUCUAUAUUUUAUCACUGUAGCUAACUUAUUAAUGCAGUAUAAUAAUCUGAGCUAAUCCAUUUUUCCCUAUGAAAUCAGAAAGUUGAACUAAUCCAAGCACAUAAGAUAGUCAAAUUUGAGAAAUCACAGCUGAAACAAAAGAGAAAAGAAGAGUGAUUUAAAUCUUAGCUUAAACAAAUCUAAGCCGGUCGAGUGAUUGCUUCAUCCUUUUUCUGAGGGGAAAACUCAAUAAAAAUCUCUGUUCAAACACUCCAAUAGAUACAAGAUUUGACCCAAAUUAGGGUUUCUGUUGCAAUACAGUGAUAUCUAAACUAUCUUAACUUAGGUUCACAAACAAGAGCUAGCUAUGGAGCUAAAAAUGUCAGGCCUAUUUAUUGCGGAAAAAAAUUAUAGAUCCUCUUGAACAUUUAGCAGAUUGCAUGUAAUCAAACACAUGCAAUCUUUGAAAAUUAAAGUGUAUGAACAAUCUGAUGAUUUUAAUGCGCCUGAUAUUUCAAUUUUCCAACUAUUUCCAUUAGCAUCUGUUAAUCAUUUGAUCAUCAUGAGUUCGAAGGAUAAAUCAUAUGGUUAACAGCCAGUAAAGCGUAAAGGCGAAUAGGCUUUUGGCACUCUUUAUAGAUUAAUAGUUGUACCCUAGACUGUUCGUGCAGUUUAUUUUCGUGUGGUUUAUUUUCAAAUUUUAAUGUUUGGAUGGUUAUACGAUCAGCCAAAUAUCGAUGUUGUAAAAACAUUACCAGAAUCAAUUAUUCUAACAUAGCAUUUUAGAAAAGGAGGUAUGCUUUCUGUUUGAAUCUAACGGAGCUAAUUCUUUCAGUCCGAGAAUGGAACAGUCCAUUUCGCAUUUUCUGUACAUCAUCAGUGCUAACUGCUAAACUGGUGAACUUAGAAUUCAGAAUGUGCAAAAACCAUCUAAUCUAGUACUUAAAAGCACUUGUCACUGACAUAGAUUGCUAAGAAAUGUCUAAAAGAAAAGACCAAAUCAUCUUCUAUCUAUCCUUUUACAUAAAAUCGUUCAUAAGCAUCUGAAUCCCCAAACAAAGAUACUGCAGUGAAACACAAGGAGAACAAGUUCAAUUUGAUGCCAGAGGAAUAAUUUCGUCUUGAAUGCAUAAAAGUCAUUAGUAUUAAUUGCCAUAGAAAGUAUAGAAAUCGACUAAUCACGACGAUGCUAUAAUGUAUUGAUUAUUUCGCUAAAAGGUUAAUUCCAAUCCAGGUUGUUGUUAAAUACUUAACAUGAGUAGGCUUGUACCUCGACCUUGCAUAGCGCACAAGGAAGUUUGCUUAAUCAUCUUCCAUUCCAUCUUCACUCUCUUCAUUCAUUGUAUCGCUCUCUUCGUUCAUUGUAUCCAUGACAAUUUCAUUCACCUGCAAAGAGAGAAGAAAAAAAAUAAAUAAUCAAAAUAGAAUACAGUUUUAAAAGUUCGGUAAGAAUUGUACAAAACUUUAGCAACAAAUUCUUCUUCAUUUAAUCUCCAGUUGGUUUUCCUUUCAUCACAACUUAUCAAAGUUACUGGCAUAUUUGGCCCAUCCAGAGCUUGUGCAGGACUAGUGUUUGAGCAGAGCUGUUCGAAGAAGCUCAAUUUGAGGCUUGAACAAAAUGUAUGUACUGCUGAAAACGAAAAGCUUGUUUUGACACCUCGUCUAAGUAAAAGCACCCAAUCAAUUUAAUUACCAAAUACAUAGCUUCGACUUCUUAGUUUAGAGAAACUGUUCUAGAAGUCAAGAUAAAAAAAAAAAGGCACUAUGGAAAAUGCGUACCAGAUCCUGAUCAUAAUCAUCGACAAUGACCUCUGGUACUGCAGCCAACUGUGCACUUCCUUUCGGUCCAAGGCACCACUCCAUCAGCGCCGGGCAACAUGAAAUAUCCAACUCCUUCAGCUUCGGCGGAAGCCUCUCAUCUUCCGCAAACCGCACCAUGGGGCAGUCCUCAAUCUUCAGCACCUCGAGAGACACCAAAUUGUGCAACCCAACUAGCGUCCCUGCCGAAGAAGUCGACGAAGAUGCAACAUCACAAACAUUCGGUGCGCAUCCUCCACAAUCUAUACUCACAAGCUGCGAACACCCUUCGAUCGCCAGCGUCUUCAGAGCGGGCAUAUUGAACAGCGGAAGCGCGGUUAGUCCCUCGCAACAUACAACUUCCAUUUCCUCGAGUAAUGGGAGAUUCAGAAUACAUGACCAAAUCGUUUCCUGACAUGCGCCUGCUAUAGAAAGACUAGUUAGAGAAUGUGGAGCCGGAAAGGCCGCGACUUGGUGGCAAUCUCGCAAUCUCAGCUUUUCUAGCGACGGAGCGAUUGUCACGGGGAAAUGCUUCAGUUUCGGGCAGCCCAGUAGUGCUAACUCGUCAAGCCGGGGAAAGGCGCUUUCUCCGACACCAAUCCACUCCUCCCACUCCGGCAUCCACUCGAACUCCAGCUUCUCCAAUGCCGCGAACUUUUUAACGCCACUGCAAAUCUCUGGGCCAAUUCGCCGAACACUUGGCAUGCCUCUCACAUACAGAUUCUUCAAACACGGCAAAUCGCCAAGCUGCGGCAAAUACUCGCACUUCUCGCACAUGUAAAGCUGAAGUGUCUGGAGACUGGAGAAGGAUGGAUCACCCAGCCAGUUUGAAAAUUGUUUUCCACCGUAAUUCCGGAUGUGAAGUACAACAACAUCAGCAUUAGGUCUCAAAUUCUCGAGAACUACACUCUCAUCUUCGAAGAAUUCGCACGGUGCGGUGAUCGCCUUCGUGUCGUAGUAUCCACGGUCCGAACUCAACUUCGAAUGACUACAUUUGCGAUCCGAUUGGUGAGCGUACCAAUCCAGCGUCAGUCUCUGAAUAUUGCUUUUCGAUUCCAAAUUGGCUUGUUUCGCGUCCCCACCACGAGCUACAUUCCUGAGCCCGGAAAUGUAGAGGUCUCCGCGGAGAUCCUUCAUGUUCUUGAGCUCACCAAUGCCACAAUGCGCGCCGUCUCCGCCUACAUUGAUUGCUGAUAACUCUUGCAGAUUGGUCAGACUCAUUAUCCCAGAUGGAAUACAAACAAAGGAUUGAUCUAUUGAUGGUAACAACAAAUGGCGGAGAUCGGCGAGCUCGCCGAUUCCGCUCGGUAGCUCGCAAAGAUCGCUGCAGUUUUCGAGAUCGAGUGUUUGGAGGUACCACAAUUUACAAACAGAUUCGGGGAGUUUGCGGAUCUUAGUGUUUCUGAGACUGAGGUAUCUGAGGUGCUUCAAAUUGCUCACUGACUCUGGGAGUUCCUCUAUUGCAGUGUAGGCCAAAUCCAGCGUUCUUAAGCAUAAAAAUUUCGAGAAGAAAUCGGUGGGAAGCUUAAUUUGAGCUAGAUUGAAGUCCAACAUUGCAGCUCCUCCGUAAAAGUAUGGAACUGUGUAAAUGAGCUGCAGCGAACGCAGAGGAACUUCUUUCGCCGCCGAUUUGAACUCCAUUUUCACGUUCGAACCGUAGGGAGUUAGAGAUAGGUGCCGAGUUUCUGCGGAGAGAUCACAGAGAUCGGAAUUCUCCGUCACAACACACUCUUCCCCGGAAAUGUACCGCGCCAAAUCGUGAAGGAGAUCGUGCAUCAGAAACUUCUCUUCUUCGCCAAAUUCUAGCAGUGAGUAUUGAAAGAAUGACCUCGACACCAACUCAUCGAAGUACUCGCUCGCGACAUCCUCCGGCGCUUUGUCGUCGUCGUCUUCAGCUGCUUGAAUGAAUCCCUGAACCAUCCAUUGCCUAACUAAAGGGUCCUUCUUGAACACGAACCCCUUCGGAAACACCACGCAGUGAACGAAACACCGCUUUAAGUGCACCGGCAGGUGCUGGUAGCUUAGCUUUAAGGCCGGCAGGAUCGCAUUCCCGGUCUCGUCGAGAUCCCAAACAUCGCUCUGCAAGAGAUCGAUCCAACUCUCCUCGUCGGUCUCGUAUCGUAAAAGCCCGCCCAUCACCCUCGCCGCCAAAGGCAAGCCUCUGCACUUCAAUGAGAUGUUCCUGCCGAUCUCAACCAAGCGCGGGUUUGCUUUCGGAUCGCGGCCGUCGAACGCCCAUCUUUCGAACAACGACCGGCAGUCAUUGUCCGACAAGCAGUUCAGCUCGAUCGCCGCGGCCGACUGCAUGAUUCGAGCGACUGGUUCGAUCCUGGUGGUCACCAGAACUCUGCUCCCUGCGGCGCCCGACGAUAACGCCAAUCUGAGUCUCUCCCACAACACUUGCUCCUCAUUCCAAACAUCAUCUAGCACAAGCAAGAAUCUCUUUCCCUGCAACCUCUCCUUCAAAUGCUCUGCCAACGCGCCAAUUUCGUUAAGAUCACACAGGCUCUUUGUAACUGAGAAGAUAAUCUCGUGCAGUAACCUUUUUGCAUCAAAAUUCUCAUGCACUCCUACCCAUCCCUUCACAUCAAAAUGCUGAGAGACUCUUUGAUCACUGCACACAAGUUGAGCUAAGGUGGACUUGCCGACCCCGGCCAUGCCGACUAUCGAAACAACCGAGACAUUGCUUCCGCCGUAGUCGGCGGAGAGUAAUAAAUCGACCAACUUCUUUCUUUCGUCCUCUCUGCCGUAUAUCUCCGACGGCUGCGCAUGGGAGCUCGUCGAGACCCAUGCGGCUUUCUCCGCCCGACGAGGCCCGUCUGCUUCCGUUAACCGGAGCCUGGUGCGGUCCCUCGCGAUGGCAUCGAGCCGCCGAUUGAUCUCCUUGAUCUGGAGCACCAUGCGACGUCGAAAAGAAGCAUCGUCGAGAGGAGAGGGGAGAGUUGCGAGCUCUUGCACCUCACCAUGCUUUCUCUUGCGCCCGGGCUUACUCGGGGGAUGACUGAAACUGCGGCGCGACCGGAGCAGCUCGUAUUCGAAUUCAUCGAGAACGUCAUCGGCGUCGUAGGCGACGCCCUUCAGCUCCCGCAGCCAGAGCUUGACGGACUCCUCGCGCACCUCCCUCCUCUCGGCGUCGCGAAGCACCGAUUCGAUUGCCUCGAGGGUGCAUUUGAGCUUCUUGAGAUCGUCUUCGACGACAUGCGGUGCGUCGGAGGAGGAGGAGGAGGCCGCGCCGGCGAGCGAUCGCCGGACGGACGACGAUAGCUUGUCGGCCAAUCGGAGCACGGAAGAGAGGAUUCCACUGGCCAUUGCAGGAUUGGUUUGAUCAAAAUUGUGACCAAAAUUUGAUCAUAGACACUGGGGUUGACCUCGGGGAAUGUGAACACAAAGCAUUUGCUUUGUAAAAACGCUAUGUGCGCUCCACCAACAAUUGGCACUUAGUGUUGACUGUUGACUUUGUCACUGCUUACAAAAUAUAAAUACAAAAUACCUGGAGGUGGAUGCAUUUAAAAAUACAAUAAUUAUAAAUACAUAUAUCUUAUUUUAUUAGAUGUAAUAAAGAGCAACUAUAUACAUAAAUAUUUUAUUUAGUCCCAUACAAUUGAGAAGUGUAUUUAUGAAAUUUUAUUAUUUUAUAUAUGUGGCCGUGAGAUUAUCAUCUACACAGGAAAAUAAAAAAUAAAAAAUUAUUAGGAAGGUAAGUUUAUAUUUAUUUAAAGUUACUCUCUUCAAAUGCUGUAUUUACCGGGUCGAUUUGGUCGUGAUUCCAAAUGCAUGUUUUCUAAAAUUUUGAUGAUAAUAAUGUGAAAUUGUGCUGAUAUAAGGGAUCUGACACAUACUCAAGAAUCAAAGGUAUAUAAAGAGAAAUCUGAAAUAUCUAAACUUCAUAAAGGUAUGUACCAAGAAAAUAAUACAGGUAAAAAUGUGCAUACCUUAUUUGAACUACAGGCAUUUUAAAAUAGGCACCUAAACUAAACUUUUAAAACUUUUUCCCACCUUUACAAUUUCUUUAAAUUUAUUGAAUAGUUUCAAAAUUUUGUCAAAACGUGAUAAAAUUUAAGAGUUUUCCUUUUGGAGAUGAUUUCAGAUAUAUCUGAAUGAACUUUCUGACUUUUAUCUUGAUGGUAAUUGCAGGCACUAAUAACAGAAUUACUGAAUAUUCUACCUUGCAAUGCUGCAACAGCAGAUAACCACAUCCAAUUGCAGCAACUUGACCAUGCCGCCAAUUCAAAUUCGGUGUUCACCAUCGGAUUACCUGCAUACCAUUUUUCUUUUUAACUGAAGCAUUAGCAUAAGUUUUCAUCUUCCAUGAGAAUUUGGAGGUACUGUGCAAGUGCUCCUAAGAUGAAUUUGUGAUUUUCUUGAGAAAAGCUCACUGAUAUAAGACAACAAGAAAAUCAAGUCAUUUAACACCAACAAAGAAGGAAAUUUACGAUGAAUAUGAGAUAUUCUAUUCUGAAGUUCCUAGAAAGUAGCUGAUACAUUUACAAUGCAGCUGAACAACGCGCGAGUCGAAAAGAAGCACAUACAGAAGCAGCAGCAAGCACAGCAGAACAAAGAGGAAGAGCUCAAAACAACAGAUGAUCACCGAAUGUUACAACUAACAACACAAGAUGCAGAGUAGAAGAACAACCCCAUGAAUAAUCAACAAAUUUAGUUAGUAUAAACAUGAUCAGAACAGGGCAGAACUUGUUCUGCGAAGCUGAUGCUUUGGUUCUGGUUGCGGUACAAAGUGGAUUACUGGCUCCAACUCCUGCAUUACAUUGUAAAAUAUGCAUGAAUGCUCGGUUAUGCGAAAAGAUUUGCUUAAAGGAAAAGACCAGGCAUAAACUUAUAAGAAAAGAUAAGGCAAAAUUAGUUUUCUGACAAUCUCAGUCAUUGUAGUAAAUCUGCAAUGCUGGAUUUUUGGGAAAUCCUGAACAUCAUAGUCAAACCAACUAACUUGUCUACCGAGGAAAUUACGAUCUUAAUCAAAUUAAUCAGCUACCUGAGCACAAAUUCUAUAAUACUUCCAUAUCAACCAUGCUGAAUAGUCCAACAAAAAAAAACACUACCUUUUGCCUUUUGAGCCUUUCAUUUUCCUCUUCCAAGCGCGAAACCUUGUUCUCCAGCUCAUGCGUAUAAGCCUAUUUCAACAAAUCAAACAGACAACUAUAAUUUGUAUGAUACCAUUUAACAACAACAACAACAACAACAAGUGAUCAUAGAACAAAGCAUUCAUACUUGCUUCCGAGCUCGCGACCGAGCCGCGGAUUCCCUGUUCUUGAUCAUCCUCUUCUGCCGCCUCUCGACCGUCUUCUCCGCCACCUCCUCCACCCCCGCCACCGCCACCGCCACCGCCGCCGUCCCCGCCCCUCUCUUCCUCCUCAGAGCCUGCGGAGCCGCCUCCGACAAUUGUCGUGCCGGCCCAGCACGUCCUACAUAGCCCCCCGACAGGGCCCCUCGGCCCAAAUUGGCCCCCUCAUCACCACCGCCGUCGCCGGCGGUGGCCCCGACUUUCAUAAGGAAGCCUUCUAAGGUCAUUUCGGCGCCGCCGGCGACGGCGGACGGAGGAAUGGCAGUGUGGAGGAAUUCGUCGAAUCCGUAAAUUGGGGAUUGGGCAGAGAAGCCCUGUAAACCCUGGGGCUUUCGGCGGCCACCGCCACCGCCACCGCCCCCGUGAGACGCCGCCGCCGCCGCCGCCGCCACCGCCUGAGUCCCCAUUGGAUUAUAUCAAACCCUAAACCAACUCCAACACCAGCUAAAGAUCACAGAUGAUGAUAUAGUUUCCCCUUGUUGUAUAUUUUCCUACAGCAUAAUCUAGAAUUCUAUAGAAUGCAGUUGCAUAACCUGCAAUAAUAAUAUUCAAUCAUUGAAACAUCACAAAAGUAAGAAACAAGUGAGCUAACAACUCAGAUUCUCCUAGAAAUCUCUAGAAAGCAGAAUUAAAAAUUUUUUAAAAAUUAUUCAAGAACUAUACUCAGGAAAUUGGAAACAAAUUUUUUUUUGUGCAAAAUGGGUGUUUUUUUGCAGAAUGUGUUUCUCUAAAAAAGGACACCUCAAGGAAUGAAAUCCUGUGCCAUAGAUAUAUAUUUCCUUUCCUCUUUCCUUGUUAGCUUCAGGUGAUGUAAAAAACAAAAAAAAUGCUGCAGAGGGAAUAUUAACCCACCAGAGAAAGAACUAAAAAAAAAAAAAAGGGAGAAAAAAAAAUGAACACAUAUUUAGAAAUAGAGCAUCAAAAUUGUACAGCAUACCUAUCUAUUAGAGAGGGAUGAGAAUCCAUAGAAUGAAACAGGGAACUCAAAACAACUCAAAUAGAGACCUACUUUUAACUGAUUAAGCAAACAGAGACCUAGGACAUAUAUAGUGGAUUUAUUUAUUUAUUUAUUAAAUUAGGGUUAAAUUGCACUUUUGGUCCUUAACUUUGAGUCGCAUGACACUUUGGUACUCCAACUUUAUUUUUUUUUAAUUUCUGACUCAAAAUUUUUAAAUAGCAAUAAUAAUGUGUUGCUAAUAUCGCGGUAAUGUAAUAGCACUAUAAUUGAUAACAUGAUAAUAGUUAUUGUAUUGCUAUCAUAUCAGUAAAAUACUAAUAUUCGGUCAAUUAAAAUGGACGGUAGGAGUUAAGUAUAAUAAUUUAAAAAGUUUAAGUUAUAAAUUUUAAUAAAUUAAAAUUUGAGGACUAUUUUGUCACACUGUCAAAGUUUGAGGAGACAUUUAAAUGGGGUGACAUGGGAUGGGAGGGCCCACGAAAUAGGGAGGCUUUGUAGCUUCAUUUUCCCCGACACAGUAUCUUGAGGCGCAUCUACUAAUCCACAUGUAAUUGGAAUAAUUAAAGAGGAAUGGUUUGGAUUUUCGUAAAUAAUUUUUUAUCUAUUGUUCAUAUAUUAUAAACUAAAUUAUGCUUGACCAUUUUGAUUGGACUAUCUAAUUUUUUAAAAAAAUAUUAAUACCAACCACACGAAGGUCUUGACUUUUAGGAAUAAUUUGAUCUUCAAUAAUUGGACAAAGCUCUUAUCUUUUACUCCACGUCUUGCGGAAAUUUGUAAAGCGAGUUGACCUAAACUCCUUGCACUGUGUCCAUCUCCACUUGCUUUCAUCUUUUCUAUUAAACAGAGAGAUUGCAGAAAUCGACUCUUUUAGUUUCGAGAUAGUAAAACUUGAAUUAUUAUAUCAGAACAGUCAGAUAAUAUCUAAUCUGUUUUUCGCCCAUGGCGGUAAAAUUGAGCUCUUUAGUUCUCACCAACCACACCUUUGCAAGGUAAAAAGCCAACACAAGUUUUAUAAAUCAUACCGACCGUCCCUAAAGUAAGUGGUAAAGGAUUUAGUGGUUGGAACCCGAGAUCCAAGUUCGAAUCCUAGUUGAUUUACAUUUCUAGCUGAGUUUAUUUUUAAAAUGAAAUAAAUGAAGCGGGUAGCGUGCUACCUAUCUCUCAAAAUAAAAAAAAUAAAAAAAAAAAGUUUUACAAACCAUGGUGUGUUGCAGCUGUAAUGACCAUCAACCAAGAGGCAUAACCAUUUUCCCCAAAAUCGCUUCUCCAUAGCAAAAGCUUCCAGCUGGUACAAUGCUGGAAUUUGUAAACUUUAAUGUAAAUUUUAAAAGUAAGUUUAUUUUUAAAAAAAAAUAAGUUUUUUUUUUUUUUUUUUUUUUGUUUUUUUUUUUUUGCUUAUUUCGAUGGGCCCGUGUCUCUGAAUACUUAAUUAAGCUUAUCUUCGACAAUUAAUUAAUGAAAACAAUCGCUUUCGUGCAGGCGAAGCGAUUGGCUGAGGAUGUCCUUUAGCUGAAGAUUAACUUAAUAAUUAAUUAUUCAUAACCCUAAGCAUUUCUGUUUAGCGUCUCGAGUUUUUUGAAUGCACUAGUUGGUCAAAAAGUGGAUUAAACAAUAAUGUGUUUUUUUUUCUUUUUUUUCUUUUUGUCUAUUUCUUCAGGCUUUGUAGUUUCUAAAAUCCAAUUGAACAUUGCAUGAUUCAAUGGGCACAAAUGAAAAUUCAAAAUGUAACUGCGAAAUAUUUUAGAUUAAAAAAAAAUUAUUGCUAUCCAAACAACCAAUCUGAAUAAAAAAGUUUCAGACAUGUACUUGCGAUAUGAGAUCAGAGCUAGCUCUAAUAUUAUGUUACCAAAAAGUCAAACAAUCCAAAUAUAUAGUUUAACCAAGGUGAUGUUUCUUUUCAGUAGUUAAUGUUAAUUUAAUUACCAAUUGCAACUUUAUUUAUUUAUUGAACACUUUAUACAUUUCCUCAUCAUGCAUGUGAGUGGUAAUGAUCACAUAACUCCCACUUAGGUUGCACUAAUGAGGAUUCCCAGUUGAGAAUCCUAGAGCCCUAAUUAAACUAAAAUAUUUAUUAAUUAAUUCUAAAAUAAUUACUAAUUAAUUUUUAAAGAACCAUGGGCUCAUCUAAGCAUAUGUUAUCUAUUAUCUAUUACUAUAUACAAGUCCGUUGACUAAUAUUACUGUGUUGCCACGUCCCCUAACUGCCUUUGGUGCACCUGGUGCACCAUAGACCACCUUCCCCUUCUCUCUCCCUAUAUAUAUAUAUAUAUAUAUAUAUAGAGAGAGAGAGAGAGAGAGAGAGAGAGAGGGGGGGGGGGGCUGGAAUACUAUUGAUAGCAAAAAUUUCUUUUUGCUAUCAAGUUUUUAAUUCUUAGAUGAGAAAUAGGGGUAGGAUGAUAUUAGUCUCUUAGGGUUGAGUGGUCCUCCUAGGGUUGAGUGGUCUCCACUGGGUUAUAGUAUUUAAUCCAAUGGUUAGAAAUAAUGAAAAGAGUAGAUCCAAAGGUUAAAAACUGGUAGCAACAAUAAAAUUUUGCUACUAAUAGUAGCCCAGUCCAACUAUAUAUAUAUAUAUAUAUAUAUAUAUAUAUAUAGAGAGAGAGAGAGAGAGAGAGAGAGAGAGAGAGAGAGAGAGAACUAGGCUAGAAUAUUAUUAAUAGCACCAAAUCAUUAAUGCUAUUAAAUUUUCGACCCUUGGAUGAAGCGAUAUAUAUAUAUAUAAUUUUAAAAUUUUAUAUCAUAAAUUUUAAAUUUUGUAUAUCGAAAUUUUAAAUUCUAAAUUUUAAAUUUUACUAUUUUAAAAUUUAUAAUAUUUAUUCCCAAAUUUUCAACUUCAAAAAUUAAAAUUUUAAAUCUCUAUUGUGCUUUCUUUUAAUUUAAUUUUUAUUUAAUUUGAUGUUCAUAUCUUUUCUAUUUUUUUCCUCUCUCACAAGAAAUGUGCAUGCCGCUUUUCUCUCUCCCUUUGUUUACUUUUUAAUUUAAUACUUUUUUUCUUUUUUUCAAAUAAAAGAUAUGAAUAUUUAAAAUAAUUUUAAACUUGAAUUUAUUAAUUAUAUAUUUUUAAAAAUUUUUAUUUUUAUUUUUCUACAUUAUGGGUAAAAUAUAAUAUAUUUAAAAAUUUAAAAAUGCUCUCUCUAAUUUUAAUUUUUUAUUUAAUAUUCUCUAUUUUGCUAAGUAAGAAAUAUAUAUACAACUUAGUAUUUUUAUUUGACUCCAUUAAAUAAUAACGUGUAAUAUAAUAAUUAUGAAUUUAAAAAUUUUACCCGCGCUUUGCAUUACAUUGCUCGUCAUCAUCAUCAUAGAUAUACAAGUUGCUUGGGAGAGGGGGGUUGUGACACGUGGCGCGCUCCAAUUGUAGUAGUUGUCAAAUCAAAGUUACCAUCACAGUGGCGUACAAGGUUAAUAGUAUGACCAAAAAUAAAUAAUGAAAAACACAGGGUAAAGGUUCAAUAACAUGCGAGGGGUAGUGUGACAUUUGGCACUUUUCGAUUUCUAUGUAAAAAUUUAAGGCCUUCACAAUAUUUUAAAAUUACCAACCAUAAUAACAACUUGGCAGAUUUAUUAGACUUGUAAGGAAAAAAUAAUUUAAAAAAAGCUAAAAUUGACCAAUAAUUUUUUUAAAUUUUGAUUAAAAUUUUACUUUGCCCUUCAAAUUUUUAAUUUAGUUAUUUAAUGUUUAAAAUUUUAAAAGAGUUUCAUCUAGUCUCUAUCUUUAUAGCCUGCAUUCAGAGUUUUCAGACGCGAGCUGCAACGCAAAGACCUCCUGAAAUCUAGACAAUAACUUCCAUUCAGAAUGCAUGUAAACAAUCAUAAAACCCAUCUCAUAUUUUAGUCUCAUCAUCCAUUAACCUGCAUUUUUCUAUUUGAUCGACCCUCGAGAAAAACUAUGACAAUGGUGAAAAGACCAUGAACUUGCGUUGCAUUGAUGCGUGCAAGGCAAGGGCUUAUCCCACAAGCAAAUAAUAAAAUUUGGAAAUACAAUUUUCAAGUACAAAGAACUCAACAAUAAAAUUGCAGCUGCAGCGCUCUGACUACAUAAAAUACUAACGAAUAUUGAGUUCAAAUCCUACGUUUGAAGGUUUCUAAGGCGCCAAACUUUCGAUUUCCGGAAAAGAAAAAAACAAUAUAAAACACUAAUUUGCAAGGGGAAAAAGAAAAAAAAAGAGAGAAAACCUAGGAGAUGUUUAGAAUUGUGAUAAAUCCAAAUGACCUAAAAAAGAGCAUCAUCUACUUUUAUUCACACUUGAUGUUCAUUGGGUGCAUGCUCACAUUCUCCAGGUGAGAGAAAGUGAUCACGAAAUGAGGCCAUGUGAAAAGACAAAGAGGGAACUUGUGAUCAUGUGUGUGUGAGUUGUUAAGAACAAAGCCCAUCAUCUUUUCCCAGCUUUUCUAUGUGCAGUACUGUAGCUUUAUCUAAUUGAAGUCUCAAGGAUGCUCUCUCUACCAAUGAGAAAUAUCCCAAAAACUUUGGGUGUCAGAAAAAGCACAUCUUGAAUAAUUGUUAACUGAGGCAAGAACAUGGUCUUCACCAUUUUCAAAGCCACCAUCACCAAUUCAGAGGAUCCCAAACAAGGUUCUGAUCUAUCUUAUAAUAGUUCUAAGAUAAGUACAUUACAUUCAAUUCUGAAGAAAGAGGAGACCAUGAAGCAUAAUAAAAUGUGUAAGAACAGGCUACAAUGGACUCAAAAUCCUCUCUGAGGUAAAUCUGAUGCUCAAACAUUUGACAUUACAAUUCGCGCUAUUGGAAAUAUUUUAAAAUGCUUACAGUUAAGCCAAAAUCCAAAUUCCAUCAAACCAUGAAUAGAAGCAGAUGUAGCGCGCUUGUAAUGGAGCCAUAACAUUAGGGAACAAAAAAAUAACCACAUAAAAAAAGUAGCAAAAAUCCUCAUAGUGGUGCUUACUAGGAUAACACCAUGGUAGCAUAAAAUGGAAAGGACUUCGAUUUAGCAAAAACAAAAAAAGAAAAGAAAGAGAUACCUUUAUUCCCUUGCAAAGUGGCACGGCUGCUGACCAAAAUAUUAUGUAUUGUGAAACAAGAUCACAAAUGCACCGUCCAAUGUAGAAACAACAAAGUGGAUUUUUAUUUGGAUAAUAAAUCAAUAAAGCAGGAGAAAUGUUAGUGGCUGAGCUUGUUUUCAAGUACAUGGUAAGGUCUUCUUUGCUGCAAAUUGCUAGUCUCUCCACGUUUCUUUCAGCUGCUCUAUAGAUCCCCGAAAGGAGAUGCUUUGUGUCCCCAGAAAGUGUUCUCUUUAAUGUUACUAAUGUGUUGAUAGAUUUCAAGUGGCAUCUUAGUGUGUAUAAACAAAUUGAAACCCUUCAUAUGAUGUACACCAACACAUCGACACCAUAUAAAGAUGGCAAUUAUGGAGACAUGUAACAAUACUGCAUUCCCAAAAGAGUACCGCUACAUGUUCCCCAAAAUGCUCACCAAUCAUGCAGCCAAAAAAAUCGUAUGGUGAUAUUAUCAGAAUCCAAAAUGAAUAAAAGCAAAGGCCAUUUGGACGUUUUAUUGCAUGAUGAUAUUACGAAAACCAAAAUUACUACUAACGAAUAGAUUCAAUCAAUCUACACUUUUUAUUUAUUUACAAACUUUGAGCAUUCAAUGAAUUUGCUUUGCCCUAGUAAACAUAGAUCAAUUAAUAUCACUUCUGGAAAUUAUUGGCAAAACGUGGUUCACCUUGUCAGCUGCGGACCAUCCAGACAGGUAUCCUUCAUUCCAUCACUUCUUGAAAUCAUCACCACAUAGUAAAUUUUACUCUUAAUAAUUUCUGAAAUUAUAAAGGUGAUGAUUAGAGUAAGUGAGAAUGAAGGUUAAAUUGCCAAGCAUCCAUAGUUGAAGUGGUGGAACAGGUUCAGAUGAUAAUUUCUCUGCAUGGAGAGAACUAUGGCUUGGCAAGCUUUACAAAAAAGGAAUACAAAAAUGGGAGCAAAACUAUGGAAAGCAAACCUUUGCAAGUCACUGGCAAAAAGGCUAGGAAACUAGAUGGCAAUUUUCACAUGUACCUGGUGAAGCCAACUUGAGAGAAGACGACAAGCCAAACAGCUUUUGCAUGAGGUAGGAGGGAUCAAGGUUUAUGCUGCAACUUGGAGAGUCACUAUACAUUUUAUCACAGUAUGUACACAAGUUAACAGCUCAGAACAUUGUGAUCAAGAAAUUAUUAAAACUAAUAAUCACGGAGCAUAACAAGAGCUGAGAUAUUAAUGAUACAGAUAAUCCCCCCAGUUCAAGAUGAAUGGUAGGUGAAACUGAUACUCAGCAUCAUCAAUAGUUGAACAGACAGAGACAUCAAUACUUGAUAACACGAAGAGAUGAGCAAUUGAUGAAAGUGAUACUUGGUACUAAAUAGCAUGAAGAGCAAACUGGUUGAAGCAGAAAUUUCAUACUAUGCAAGCGUAAUAAGGAGUUGCUAAAGCCAGAGCCAAUACUACACAGUAGGGGUGGCAAUCCAGCUCACUGUUCACGAGCCAGUUCCGAAAUAAGCUCGAGAUCGAAUCGCUCGUUUAAUAAAUGAGCCGAACACGAGCUGAAUUUUUCAACUCGUUUAAUAAACGAGCCGAACACGAGCUAGGGUCAGCUCGCUCGUGUUCAGCUCGAUAACAGCUCAAAUACAUAUAUUUUACAUUUAUAUAAUUUAUUUAAUUUAUAUAUAUAUAUAUAUAUAUAUAAAUAAUUACAUAUAUAAUAUAUAUAUUUUUAUUGUUUGAAUUUUAGUAACAUAAAAAUAUAAAGGUGAGCUCAAUUAUAAAAAGAUUCAUUUAUAUGUAAAGUUUCAACCAUUAGAUUAAAGUAUAAUGGGUAAGAUUUUAUAAAUUUAUUUUUUAUAUAUAUCUAAUCUAAUUCUUUUAACUUAUUGUUCGUUGGCCAGCUCGUGAGCUAGCUCGUGUUCGGCUCGUUUAUUAACGAGCCAAACACGAGUUGAAUUUUUCAGCUCGAUACUUUAACGAGCGGAAUGCGAGUCAGGGUUGGCUCGCUCGUGUUCGGCUCGUUGACACCCCUACUACACAGUAUGAGGAUUUAGGAAUUGGUAAAGUUAAUGUACAAUAGCCGAGCAGUUGAUAAAUCUAAUAACUAGUGGCAAAAGGAUUAAGCAGUCAAGAAAGCCAACAAUCGGACAAUAUGAAGGUAGGACUGUUGGUGAAGCUAACAAUCAUAAUAUGUAGUUUGAGCAACUGAUGUAGCUGACACAACAGCACCAAGAGAUAAGCAUCAUAUCCACAUAGCUUGCCUGUGUAAGAGUGUAAGUUAUAGGCAGCAAUAUUAAGAAGUCCGUUAUGCAAAAUCAAAGAGCAUGCUUCUUCUAAUGCUAAUCGUUGCUCAGAAAGAUGAAUUCAAAUUUCAAAGUGUACAAGCAAAUUUAUCAUACUUAUUAUGCCAUAAAUUGGGACCAGCAAAAUCCCUCAAAAUAGCUGGGCUUCAGCACAAUUUACAAUCUUCGACAAACUAUGAUAAUGUUACAGAUAAGUUGAGAACAGCAAAACGCAUCAUGAUAUUACAAGCAGGUUGUCGUUUGCCUCCUCCAAGCUCAAGUCUGGAAAAAAGUAUAGAGAUGUUUCAGAAUCACGAAGGGGAAGAAAAGAUAUUGCUUGAUGACUAGUAAAGACUGAGUAGGAAAAAAAAAAUUGAAACUAAUCUUGAGUUCAUAUCCUUCCACACAAAAGCAGGUAAUUUGCCUACUUUAUACUAGGAAGAAACCAUAACAACCACUUGUUGCCAAAGAUAUCUCCUAUUGAUUCCCUCGAAGAAAAGAUUCUCCAACCAACUAUCAAAAGAAUGCAUGGUCCAUUGCAUUUCCAUGAAUAUGAAUCACUUCAUAUAUCUAUUUCCAUCUAGACAACUAUGAUUUAAGAUCCUAACAGUGAAACUUUACAAUUUUGUUUAAAUAAACCACAACAAAUAAAUCAAUAAAUCAACAAAAGGUUGCACAAGAAUAUAUAGAGGAACACGCACAUGCGACAUGAGCGCAAAAGAGCAUCCACUCGCACACACAAUCGUGCAUUUUCUACGCAACAUUUUGUAGUUCAUUGAUUGAUUCUUUUGUACGAAAUUAUUUUGUGGACAUGAUCAUGACUGAAGAGCAGUUGAUGCACUAAUCUUGUCAUCUCUUCAGCGCCAACCACGAAAAGAUGUUUUGAAAGAGAGAGAAAUUAUUUUAGUAGCGCAGUUUAUGGCAGCGUUCACAAUUCACAACCAAACAAAAGAACAGUAAAUAUAAGUCUCUCAUAGAAAGGAGGUUUUUUUUAAGGGUUAAUUACUUACAUGUCCCUGCAAACUUAAGAAAUUGCAAAUCUAACCUGGCUAAUAUUGAAAUAACAAAUAGAAGAUUACAUAAAUCAUCUUCACCGUCUUUGAAUAACCUAGUUUGAUUAGAACAACUAUCCCUAACUUCAUGGAGAAAGAAGAAAUAACAAUUGGAGAAUUCUCGUUGAGAGAGAUAAUAUCUCCAUGUUUCCAUUUCAAACAUGGAAAUGAUUAGACACUCUCUAACAUACCGAGUCAAAAGUAAACUUGAUACUCUUAUUUAAACAGGACAGGAAAUAUUGCUAUAGAGCCUCAAUGGGUACCAUCUUCACCACCAGUGCAUGCAUGACAGGAGGGGAGAGCAUUCGGUCGGUUCAGUCAAUUUUUAGUUGAAUGGUAAACCAAACCGAAUUUUUUUAUUUAACAGUUUUCUAAACCGAACCGACCAAACUAUUACUCCAAACCAAAAAUCAACCAACCCGGGAUUUUUUGGUUCGGUUUGGUCGAUGUGGUCGGUUUGGGUCUUUUUAACUUGGGGCUUCAAGAUUAGUAUAUAGCCAACAAUUUAGAUUUGCUUGUUUAUGAAAUUCAAAUAAUUUAUAUUCAAAUUUAAUUUGCACUAAAGGAAUUAAGAGGAAAUAAUCACAAAAAAUUUGUUAGACUAAAUAGAAAAUUUUAGUUUACUUUUUAAAAUAUUUUGAUAAAAGGGUUAUAAUAACUAAAAGGGGCUGCUAUGCAAAUAUCUUGACCUGAUUGAUUAAUUCAGUCGGUUCAGGUUUUAAUUUACACACCUCAACUGAACACCAAAAACCGAAAUUUUACAAACCAUUUAAACUGAAAAAACAGUCAAACCUUAUUGGCCAAAUUAGGUCAGUUUGGUUCAAUAAUUCGGUUUUCACCGAACAGUGCUCACCCGAAGCAAUUAUCCUCUCAUGCAACACAUAUAGCAGUUUUCAUGCAUAAAAAUUUCUUACAGCCAAGAUGCUUAAGUUACUGUUAUUUUAAGUCUUCAACCAAAUCAACAAUUACUUUUGUAGGCCUUUCAGAUCUUGUUUGUCAUAUUCAAUUGUUUAUAUUAUUGAAAGGUCUCCACAAUUUGACCUCAUACUUUUGUUAGAACUCUGUGAAAUCACACUAGUUCCAGUAUUGGAAUGCAUUGCACAUAUGGUUCACGUAUAAGAACUGCACCAUCCUCAAGAAGCAAUUCAGUGGUAUCUAACAACAUGUCAGCAUCAAACCUCACGAAUAAUGUAGACCGAACUUGUUGUUGAUUCCAUGUCCUACAUACUAGCUAGAUUUAAAGAUACCUAGCUUGGUGCAAUAAGCAAAAGAUUUUUGAACCAUCAAAAGAUAUCACAGAAAAGAUACAACGAAAGCUAAAAGAACAUAAGAACAGACAUUCUCAACUUCUACAAACCAAUACAACAUUUGGUCUAAACUCGUGAUUUUGUCCAAUAACUUUGAUUUCCAAAGCAUAUAUCCAAGAAUUUAAGUGCCGUGCCACGAGAUCGUACCAAAAACUUGCUGGCACGGUACAGCAUGGUGCGCGCCUUGUCGUGCCGAUGCGUGCCGGUCAUAAAAAAUUCAUGUGUGCCGACACAUAAUAGUAUGAAAUAUUUAUUUUCUUUAGCAACAAAAUAUUUUAACUAUUUAUUAUGUAUUUUUAUCAUUUUUUUUGAAUUUUAUUGAGAAAAUUACAUACCAUUUUAAAGAAUAGAGGGUUUUGAGCUAUGUCAUCGGCACGGAAUCUGUAUCGUACCGAUAUUUUAUUGGCACGAUACGGCACAUGCUGAUGGGCACUUAAAUCCUUGCAUAUAUCUAUAGCAGUGAAAUGCAACCCUGACAUUCUAAUAGUUCAAAUGAAGCAGCAUUUACUAACACUAGGCGAGGAAGAAAAUAACUCAAGUCCCCAGAACUCACUUACCUAGCGCCCAACGUAAGGUGGCAAGCUCGAACCACCUGAUCCAAUACCAGAUUGAGACCUCAAAGAAACCGUCGAAUGCGGCUGAUUGCUUUGGUAAGCCCCAAAGCCUUGCAAAGCGGCUUGAGAUCCAUAGCUAGCAAUAGCACUGGGACUAAUACUAUUGAUCCCAAACCCACCUCCUCCGCCUAGCCCUACCCCGACUCCGUAAAGCGGCUGCGUUGCCCCGCUCACACCCCCUGCAGCGGCCACCGCCCCUGCGAUUGCCGGACCCAGCAGUCCAACACCUGCAUUCUGCCCUAAAAGACCUGCCAUGGGCGUCGCCGGGCUCAGACCCUGGCCUACCAAGCCAGCCAUCUGAUUAUAGCCGAGCCACGACUGAAGGGCCAAGUCAUUUGGCUGCAGGGGCGCCUGUGCCGCAGCCACAGGAGGGGUGGGAGGAGUGGUGGGGCCGGCGGGGGUCUUCGGCUUUAGCCCCUCGAGCGCCCUCUGGCAUUGCAGCUCGCACCCAUCAAACAUCUUCUUGGGCUCUUCGAGGGCCUUGCGGCACCCGUCGACGGUCUUGUAAACAAAGAUAGCAAAUCCCCGCAGCCGCCCCGUGGCGCGGUCCACGCCGACGGGUCCCUCCUCGAUCUCACCGAAUUGCUGGAAAAACGCGCGGAGGCGAUCGGGGGCGGCGUGGGUGGGGAUGUUGCUGACGAAAAGCUUCCGACCCGUGGCCUCGGGGGCGGCACCCUGGGAGCCCGGGGGGCCGAAAGACGCCAGCUGGCACGAGGUCGAGCGGUUGCCGAUGCGCUUCUGGGGCUCCUUGAGGGCGCGCUUGGCGGCGGCGCGGGUCUUGAAGCGGACGAAGCCGUAGCCCUUGCAGCGGCCCGUGGCGCGGUCGGAGACGACCUUGCACUCCUCGAUCUCGCCGAAGGGGGCGAACGCGGCGGAGAGCGCGUCGGCGGUGGUGUCCCAGCCGAGGCCGUGGACGAAGAUGUUGCGGUGGACGGGGUCGGCGUCGGCGGAGGUCGAGAGGCGGGAGAGGAGGGAGGGGCUCUUCAACGCCGCCUCCGUGAGGAGCUCCACGAGCUGGUCCUUCCCGAAGGGUUCCAGAAGCUUCCGCACGGAGUCGGGAUCCGAGGGGUCGAUCGUCUCCUCCGCCGCCGCCGCCGCCGCCGCCGCGGAAGUGGCGACGUUCUCCUCCUUCUUGCGGUUAGAUUCGUCCUUUUCUUCGUCCUCUUCGUCUUCGUCUUCAUCGUCGUCGUACUCUUCCGUGGAUUCCUCUUCGUCUACUUCUAGUUCCUCCUCUUCGACCUCCUCCUCCUCCUCCUCCUCUUCUUCUUCUUCUUCCUCCUCCCAGGAGGAGGAGGGAGCAUCGGCCUCAGACUCGGGCUUGCGCUUCUUCGCCAUUGACGAGGAGGAGGGUGAGAAGGGUGAGGUCGUGUACGGGGGAGAUUAGGAUUAUUAGGGUUUUGGUGGAUGGGGGAACGGAGGGAUAACGGAGAGCUUCGUUUUGGGUUUUGCGAUUUCGCACGCAUUGAAGUGCACGUGAGGCGCACGUGAGGUUUACGUGGGCUGGGCCGAGUAUUUAGGCUCAGAAUGGGCCAUAAACUGGACCUAUAUUGAGAAUUGUCUAUUGUGUCCAAAAAAAAAAAAAACACGAAAAGCAGGUAGAAAUAUAUUGUGCAAUAUGCGCAACAAAUUAUUACAUACAAAAAUAAAUAAAAUUUUUUUUGUUGCACAUUUUAGCACCCCCAAUGUUCUUUACUUCAAAUCCUAUCCAACAAGAGAGAGAGAGAGAGAGAUGAAUUUUCAGUUUUUAAUUUGCUUAUUUUGUUGCAAAAAUUAAAAAAAAAAAAAAGAUGCUUUCGAUGAAAAGCAGUUUUACAUUCUUUUUUAAUAAAUUUUACGUAAUGAGCCAUAUCAGCUAACAGAUAUUUGCACUACUGUUAUAGUUGAUUAACUUAUAGCACAUCCAGGCGAAGAACGACAAUUCUGUAAAAUUUUCAAAAAAAGGCAAAAGAAAGAAAAAGCUUUGUCAAACAAAUACCUGGAAUAUAAAGAUACAUGAAAUCCAAUAACAAAACAAGGUUUCAAAAUUUUCCUUUCCGGAAUGAAAAUGAUUUUCGGAUCUCUUCUACGUGGAACCAAACACUACCUAAAAAGUGAAAAUGCAAGAAGUCGUAGAGAGGCGAUUGAAGGCCCACUACUCUAGUGAGGGACAAGGUAGGUGCAACACAUGCGGUCGGCGACCAAGGCCCAAUACUUGUGGGCUCCAUCAGGGUGGCCCAUUAGUUAGGUAGGUUCUAAGCAGGUGGGGGUAGGAAUGCAAACGGCGCAGAUCCAGAGGCAGCAGGGUGCCCCACACCUAAGUUUUUGACGGGGUGGGGUUGACUUAACAGACUGAUUUUUAUCUUAUUUUUGUUCCCACUGAUCACCCUACUCCGAACAGAUCGAAAUUUAAACAGAUUUUUAACGAAUUUUUUACUAAUAGGAAGUCAGGACAGAUAACAAGGAGGAAAGGUCCCAACCUCCUCCAAUUAUUUUAGUGGAUUGGAACAAAUUCGAGACACAUUUUGGACUCCCACUUAUUAUCCCAUUUAUAGCAGAUCGGCAUAGGAGCUUCAUCAACUUGGAUCUAUUUACAUUGCGAGUGGAGAGCAAGGAAGAAAGCACUAAAGAACACAAUGGGUGGAUUUCUUUCUCUAUCUGAAUUGUACCAAUUGUACUAGCAACAAACUACCAGAGAGUGAAUGAAAGCAGUAAGGUAUCAGAAACACAAUAUUAAGAAAAUGCUAAUAAAGUCUUUUUUCUUUAGAAAAAAAGGUAAUAUACUAUUCGUUUCGUUUAUUUUUAAAAAAAAUAAAUUUAGUUAAAAAUAUGAAUAAAUUAGGAUUCGAAUUUGGCUCCUCAGAUAUCAACCACCAAACUCUUUGUUACUUGCGUUAGAAACAGUCGAUAAAAAUACUAAUAAAAGUUAAAAUGCAAUAAACUCCACUCUUAAUAUCAUGAUUCACAGACAGUUCCUAGCACGGUAAAGGACUUGGUGGUUGGUACCCGAGAUCCAAGUUCGAAUCCUAGUUGAUUCACAUUUCUAGCUAAGUUUAUUUCUAAAUGAAAUAAACGAAGCUGGUAGCAUGCUAUUUAUCUCUAAAAAAAAAAAAAUCAUGAUUCACAUGUUAUCCUCUUAUAAAAGGAAAAUCCCCCAUGUAACCUUCUAGAGCUAUGGGCAUUACUUGGAAUUGCUGACACAUUAAAAUGCAAAGUAUAAAUAUUCUGAUUGGUUCCGUAGGCGACCGUAAAUAUAUACAAAUCACAUUUGUUCAAUUAAUGAAGGAUUUCUUUGAUUCUAUGAAAAAGUGGAGAGUAUAUCUGUAUAAACCAACUAUAUUGGCCAAAUAAAAUUAGGCCGCCUUGAAUACCAAACAGGCUCUUAAUUCGGACUACUAUCGCUUAAAACAUCUUCUUAUCGCAUCAUAUGUCCAAAAACUAUUUUAAAACAUCACAUAUGUGUCUUCUUCUUCACUUGCCCAAAAACUAAACUAGUGAUCUGCUAAAAUCUCCCGUGUAUUAGUUUUAAAAAAAAAUCAUAUCUAUUUGGAUGGUUAUUAUCAUUUUUUUAUUCUGUAUUAUGAAAAAAACAGUAAAUCAUAAAAGGGAAAUCAAAACUUUCUCAUUUACUAUUUACCAGCAAUUCUAAGCGUGCCCCUUAAAAGUUAUAAAAUAUUAUUUAUAUUUUUUUAAGGUUGUUAAUAUCAAUUUUAGCAGUACAAAUUAAUGAAUUAUAUAAAAAAUGCACUUUAUCACGUUGAUUAAAAGUUUUGAAUUAGUUUGUCCCUUGUUGUACCUAAUUAUAAAUAAUUGUGUGGUAUUAUGUGCGGCUAACAAGUUUAUUUCUCACCUAAAAAUCACUUUUUUUUAUGAUUUAGUUUAUGAACAUUUUUUGUCUAUUAAGCUUUUUUAAAAUUCAAUAUCAUAGUGUGUUCCUGUCGAUGUUCAAUAAUAAUUAAUUAAACCUAAAAAUAUAUAAUUUUUUUGUAAAUUUAUCUUUUAUUGUGUCUAAAUUAGUAUAACUUUUUAGCUUAUUAUUUAUAUAAUUUUAAUCCGAAACCAAGUCCGAAUAAAAGAACCUAAAAUUCACAUACAAAAUCAAAAACCAAACCCAACUAUUCAAUAUACUAAAUCACUAAUAUAUAAUUAUAUAUAUAUAAUAGGUUUUUAACGGAUUUGAUUUUAGGUUCCGGUUCAAACACGGAGAAAAAGCAUAAUCAAAGACGAAUCCAUCAGGUUUUCUACAUAUUUAUAUCCCUAAUCGAAAUCAUAUUAAUUUAGCAUCGAUUAAACUCACUCAAUAUCUAUCUAUAUCUAUAUCUAUACAUUAUUUUUUAAAAAAUUUGUCACACGAUAAUAUUUCCUUUAUUAUUGAAUGUAUGCUUCACCAUAAACCAGCUUAAGUUCUUUCUCUUUCUUUACUUAAACCAGACCGAUUAUUAUUGAGUGUGACUCCUCCGAACUGGUUCAAAUCUUUCACAUAUGUUUUUCUUUCUUUAUUUGAAUGAAACAUGAUUUCUCUCUUUUUUUGCUUAAACCAAACCGGGUCAAUCUUUGGUAUUGGGCUGAACCGACCCAAUUGCUCCGCAUAUUUCAUCUUUGAACCAAAUUUUUCUCACUUUUUGCUUGAACCGAAUCAAUCACUACUCCACCUCGAGCCAGCUCAAGUUUUUCUCUGUCUUUGCUUGACCUGAAUCGGAUUUUUUUCCUGUUUGAACCGAAUUGGAUCACACCUCUGUAUUAGGCCAAACUGUUCCUCUUUUUCUUCCUUCGACUGUUAUCUUUGUUCUAGUCGUCGAAUUGCACGGAUUACUACAAUAUAAAAUUUGUAAAAAAACUUAGAUAUCUGUAUCCAUUGCCAUCGAUAAACAAAUGGAGCGGUAAGUUCACCGGGUAGUGCGCACAUGUCGCUUUAGUACGUCAGACACUCAGACCCCAACGAGUACGCCACCCUAUCAGGAGAGGGAAUCUUUGCGACGACCUUUUUAUUAGAAAAAAAUAACAAAUAAAAAUAAAAAUAAAAAGAUUCCGUUGGAUUCCGACGUGGCAGCGUCGAGAUUCCAACCGGUGACGUCAACAAGGGGGCGCGGGGUCCAAGACGCGGGCCCACUUUAGGUUUAAGUUUGGUAUGGAAGCUUAUCAAACGCUAUUAGAUAAAAUAGAGUUGAGAAAAAAAUAUAUAGAGAUAUAUUUUCGCAUUCUCCGGUGAGAUCGUAGAAAAUAUAUCGUAAACGGCUCAUCGCGAUAUACGGAACGCAAUAUUACGUACGGAAACAAACAUGAUAUUUUUUCAAUAUACUUUUUCACCGCACGUAACGCAAUCUCUCCGCAAUUCCAAACGAAGUCUUAAUUAAGAAAAAAAAAAGCAAUCCCAAACGAAGCCUUAAGUAAAAAAGAAAAAAAUGGAGACGUUGGUAGACGUAGAAAUUAUCGCCUGCACCUAGUGUAUGAGUAUAUCACUAAAACUCAUUAAAUAUAUUUUACAGUGAGCCUUGUUACUAUAUUUAUUUUAUAUUCAUGAAUCGUUUUCAAUAAUAAAACUUCUAAUUAAUUUGGAGCAUUUGAACAUUUUAAAUACUGAGUUUCAUAAUUUUUUCAACAUCACGCCGCUAUCUCAAAAUUGAUAAUUUAGCUAGUGGGUAUGGAGCAUUUUUAAAUUUAAUAGUACCAAAAGAAUUAGAAUAUAUGAAAUUUAGUUUAUAGAUACUUUAAUAAAUGCUCUAAUUCAAUUUAUUAAAAGCAACUAAUAAGUACGAAAGUCAUUAUACUCGUAAUAAUAAAGUAUCUCUACUCUUUUAUAAUAUUCAAAAUAUUUGCCUAAUUAUUGGUUUUGAAUAUAAUUUAUUAUUAAUUUUUUAAAUUUCUUAGCAGUAAGUUUUGAAAUUUUAUUUUUUAAAAAAUAUAGGAAUAAUUUCAUACAGUUCCUAAUAGAUAUAUAUCUACAAAGUUUAAAUUUUCAAAUUUAUCUCUUAAAAAAUUAUAAUAGUUUCAAAUAUACUUCUGUUGUUAGUGUCCGUUACAAAAAUAUAAUUAACUAUAGGAACGUUGAUGAGUGGGUAAGAUAAAUUGACCUUUUUACUCUCAUGAUAUCAUGAUUUUUUCUCUCAAUCAAAAUCCUAGCAAUGGAAACUCUUCUUCCUCUUCUUUUUUUUUUUUUCAUACGUUUCAAACUCGUAGAGUUACUGCAUCCCACUCAUCCACGGCACAUGUUCUUUUGCCUAUAUUGAAUGUGGAGGAAUAAAUAUUAGAUAGAUAAAAGAGAAAAGACAGAGAAAAAAUAGAGAAGAGGUUGCAAUGGGUUGGUUUUUAUAGAGAAAAAAACUAACCAUUGAAAAUUUGUUGGGAAGAUAUUUUUGCACGAUUCUAACAGAUGCAGCUUUUCAAGGGAUAUAUUUAUAAUGACAAAAUUGACAUUUUCACUGCUCUUCUGUUAAAAAAUUAAUAAUAAGCUAACAGUAACAAAUCAGAGUGGUAAAUAUGAAUAUCGUUGGACUUUUGAAGGGAUAAAUCUAAAAAAUUUAAAUUUUAUAACCUGUUAUUCGAUGUAUUUACAUAAAGUUGUAUGAAAUUAUUUCAAAAAAUAUAUAUAGACUUUUUAUAUAAUACAAAUCAUAUCCAAAAGAAUUGGAUUUCAAGUUUAUUCUAAUCCAUGAGAUACACGAAUAUACCGUCCCUAGCGCAAAUGGUAAAGAGCUUGAUCAUUAAUAUCCGAAAUCCUAAGUUCGAAUUCUAGUUGAUUCAUAUUUCUACGGGUAGCAUGCUACCUUUCUGUGUAAAAAAAUAAUAAUAAUAAAAAUAAAAAAAAUUCUAAUGCAUGAGAUAUAUGAAUACACCAGGUGCAGCCAAUAUUCUCUUCUUUGGAGGGGUUUUCGGUCAAAACCUGCAGCCAUUUGAUGACGUACGCGUGGAGAAAUAUUAGCCGUUGAAGGUUUCAAACAAUGACGUGAUUUUGAUUUAUUAGAUUGGAUGCUUCACAAGUGGCGUGGUUAACCAUUCAUUAAUCACGCAAUUAAUACGAUAGAAAUUAUGAUUCACGCUAUUUUAAACGUGAAAACUGUGAGACAACUAACCAUGCAUUGAAACCAGACCCAAAAAAAAAAGAAAAAAAAAAAACAUAUUUUAAAUUUUGGAUUUUAAAUUCUUAGAGUACACAUGUAGAUUUUUUUUAUCAGAUUUAUUGAAUUGAAUCACCC
rnacentral:lncRNA from 1 species